rnacentral:rRNA from 1 species
UUCCGGUUGAUCCCGCCGGACCUGACUGCUAUCGGAUUGAUACUAAGCCAUGCGAGUCAUUGUAGUAAUACAAGGCAGACGGCUCAGUAACGCGUAGUCAACCUACCCUGUGGACGGGGAUAACCUCGGGAAACUGAGAAUAAUACCCGAUAGAACAUUAUGCCUGGAAUGGUUUAUGUUUCAAAUAAUUUAUUGCCGUAGGAUGGGACUGCGUCCUAUCAGUUUGUUGGUGAGGUAAUGGCCCACCAAGACUAUUACAGGUACGGGCUCUGAGAGGAGUAGCCCGGAGAUGGGUACUGAGACACGGACCCAGGCCCUAUGGGGCGCAGCAGGCGAGAAAACUUUGCAAUGUGCGAAAGCACGACAAGGUUAAUCCGAGUGGUUUCUGCUAAAGGAACCUUUUGUCAGUCCUAGAAACACUGAUGAAUAAGGGGUGGGCAAGUUCUGGUGUCAGCCGCCGCGGUAAAACCAGCACCUCAAGUGGUCAGGAUGAUUAUUGGGCCUAAAGCAUCCGUAGCCUGCUUUGUAAGUUUUCGGUUAAAUCCAUACGCUCAACGUAUGGGCUGCCGGGAAUACUGCAAAGCUAGGGAGUGGGAGAGGUAGACGGUACUCGGUAGGAAGGGGUAAAAUCCUUUGAUCUAUUGAUGACCACCUGUGGCGAAGGCGGUCUACCAGAACACGUCCGACGGUGAGGGAUGAAAGCUGGGGGAGCAAACCGGAUUAGAUACCCGGGUAGUCCCAGCUGUAAGCUAUGCAAACUCAGUGAUGCAUUGGCUUGAUGCCAAUGCAGUGCUGCAGGGAAGCCGUUAAGUUUGCCGCCUGGGAAGUACGUACGCAAGUAUGAAACUUAAAGGAAUUGGCGGGGGAGCACCACAAGGGGUGAAGCCUGCGGUUCAAUUGGAGUCAACGCCGGG